rnacentral:rRNA from 1 species
GAGCCAAACCUAGCCCCAAACCCCCUCCACCCUACUACCAAACAACCUUAACCAAACCAUUUACCCAAAUAAAGUAUAGGCGAUAGAAAUUGUAAAUCGGCGCAAUAGAUAUAGUACCGCAAGGGAAAGAUGAAAAAUUACACCCAAGCAUAAUACAGCAAGGACUAACCCCUGUACCUUUUGCAUAAUGAAUUAACUAGAAAUAACUUUGCAAAGAGAACUAAAGCCAAGAUCCCCGAAACCAGACGAGCUACCUAAGAACAGCUAAAAGAGCACACCCGUCUAUGUAGCAAAAUAGUGGGAAGAUUUAUAGGUAGAGGCGACAAACCUACCGAGCCUGGUGAUAGCUGGUUGUCCAAGAUAGAAUCUUAGUUCAACUUUAAAUUUACCUACAGAACCCUCUAAAUCCCCCUGUAAAUUUAACUGUUAGUCCAAAGAGGAACAGCUCUUUAGACACUAGGAAAAAACCUUAUGAAGAGAGUAAAAAAUUUAAUGCCCAUAGUAGGCCUAAAAGCAGCCACCAAUUAAGAAAGCGUUCAAGCUCAACACCCACAACCUCAAAAAAUCCCAAGCAUACAACCGAACUCCUUACACUCAAUUGGACCAAUCUAUUACCCCAUAGAAGAGCUAAUGUUAGUAUAAGUAACAUGAAAACAUUCUCCUCCGCAUAAGCCUACAUCAGACCAAAAUAUUAAACUGACAAUUAACAGCCCAAUAUCUACAAUCAACCAACAAGCCGUUAUUACCCCCACUGUUAACCCAACACAGGCAUGCACACAAGGAAAGGUUAAAAAAAGUAAAAGGAACUCGGCAAAUCUUACCCCGCCUGUUUACCAAAAACAUCACCUCUAGCAUUACCAGUAUUAGAGGCACCGCCUGCCCGGUGACAUAUGUUUAACGGCCGCGGUACCCUAACCGUGCAAAGGUAGCAUAAUCACUUGUUCCUUAAAUAGGGACUUGUAUGAAUGGCUCCACGAGGGUUUAGCUGUCUCUUACUUUCAACCAGUGAAAUUGACCUACCCGUGAAGAGGCGGGCAUAACAUAGCAAGACGAGAAGACCCUAUGGAGCUUUAAUUCAUUAAUGCAAACAAUACUUAACAAACCCACAGGUCCUAAACUAUUAAACCUGCAUUAAAAAUUUCGGUUGGGGCGACCUCGGAGCACAACCCAACCUCCGAGCAACACAUGCUAAGACCUCACCAGUCAAAGCGAAUUAUUACAUCCAAUUGAUCCAAUUACUUGACCAACGGAACAAGUUACCCUAGGGAUAACAGCGCAAUCCUAUUCCAGAGUCCAUAUCAACAAUAGGGUUUACGACCUCGAUGUUGGAUCAGGACAUCCCGAUGGUGCAGCCGCUAUUAAAGGUUCGUUUGUUCAACGAUUAAAGUCCUACGUGAUCUGAGUUCAGACCGGAGUAAUCCAGGUCGGUUUCUAUCUGUUCUAAAUUUCUCCCUGUACGAAAGGACAAGAGAAAUGGGGCCUACUUCACAAAGCGCCUCCCCCAAUAAAUGAUAUUAUCUCAAUUUAACACCACACCUACACCCACUCAAGAACAGAGUUU